AUUGAACGCUGGCGGCAGGCCUAACACAUGCAAGUCGAGCGGAUGGGUGGAGCUUGCUCCAUGAUUCAGCGGCGGACGGGUGAGUAAUGCCUAGGAAUCUGCCUGGUAGUGGGGGACAACGUUUCGAAAGGAACGCUAAUACCGCAUACGUCCUACGGGAGAAAGUGGGGGAUCUUCGGACCUCACGCUAUCAGAUGAGCCUAGGUCGGAUUAGCUAGUUGGUGAGGUAAAGGCUCACCAAGGCGACGAUCCGUAACUGGUCUGAGAGGAUGAUCAGUCACACUGGAACUGAGACACGGUCCAGACUCCUACGGGAGGCAGCAGUGGGGAAUAUUGGACAAUGGGCGAAAGCCUGAUCCAGCCAUGCCGCGUGUGUGAAGAAGGUCUUCGGAUUGUAAAGCACUUUAAGUUGGGAGGAAGGGCAGUAAGUUAAUACCUUGCUGUUUUGACGUUACCAACAGAAUAAGCACCGGCUAACUUCGUGUCAGCCGCCGCGGUAACAC
rnacentral:rRNA from 1 species